rnacentral:rRNA from 1 species
UACGUAGGCAGCAAGCGUUGUUCGGAGUUACUGGGCGUAAAGGGUGCGUAGGCGGCCCUGUAAGUAUGGUGUGAAAUCUCCCGGCUUAACUGGGAGGGUGCGCUAUAGACUGCGGGGCUCGAGUGUGGGAGAGGAAGUGGAAUUCCUGGUGUAGCGGUGAAAUGCGUAGAUAUCAGGAGGAACACCGGUGGUGUAAACGGCUUUCUGGACCAUAACUGACGCUGAGGCACGAAAGCGUGGGUAGCAAACAGG